AUAACCCCGGGAAACUGGGGAUAAUUCCGGAUAACGCACAUAUGCUGGAAUGCUUUAUGCGUCAAAUGGAUUCGUCUGCCCAAGGAUGGGUCUGCGGCCUAUCAGGUAGUAGUGGGUGUAAUGUACCUACUAGCCGACGACGGGUACGGGUUGUGAGAGCAAGAGCCCGGAGAUGGAUUCUGAGACAUGAAUCCAGGCCCUACGGGGCGCAGCAGGCGCGAAAACUUUACAAUGCGGGAAACCGUGAUAAGGGGACACCGAGUGCCAGCAUCAUAUGCUGGCUGUCCGGGUGUGUAAAAUACACCUGUUAGCAAGGGCCGGGCAAGACCGGUGCCAGCCGCCGCGGUAACACCGGCGGCCCGAGUGGUGAUCGUGAUUAUUGGGUCUAAAGGGUCCGUAGCCGGUUUGGUCAGUCCUCCGGGAAAUCUGACGGCUUAACCGUUAGGCUUUCGGAGGAUACUGCCAGGCUUGGAACCGGGAGAGGUAAGAGGUACUACAGGGGUAGGAGUGAAAUCUUGUAAUCCCUGUGGGACCACCUGUGGCGAAGGCGUCUUACCAGAACGGGUUCGACGGUGAGGGACGAAAGCUGGGGGCACGAACCGGAUUAGAUACCCGGGUAGUCCCAGCCGUAAACGAUGCUCGCUAGGUGUCAGGCAUGGCGCGACCGUGUCUGGUGCCGUAGGGAAGCCGUGAAGCGAGCCACCUGGGAAGUACGGCCGCAAGGCUGAAACUUAA
rnacentral:rRNA from 1 species